CUGAGGGAGCCUCGGGAUGGGGCAGCGGCCGCGGAGCCUCCUCCGCAGGGCAGCGACGCCGCGGGGUGUGGGGCUGUGGAACUUACAGAAAGGAUCUAGUGCUCCACGUGGAGCAGUUAAUUUCCUAACUGGAAGGUACUCUGCUGAAGAAAUACUGGAUAAGAUCUUUGAAAUGCAUGUGCAUAAGAAGAAACUAGUGCUCUGCUUUUCUCAUAUGAGGCAGAUAAUUUCCAAAAAAUGCCUACAGAAAUAGAGGAAAAUGGCUGUGCUCCGAAAAUCUGGAUAUGUGGACCUUGAUUUCUAAGAUCAGUCUACAGAAUGGCACUCUCACCAGUGACUGAGGCAAUCAACAGAACUGAAUUACUGGGUAGAUAUGUUUUCCUACAAUGAGCUUUCUUCAUGUA